rnacentral:lncRNA from 1 species
AAACUCUAAAAGACUUUAUUGGCUCACGAGGCCCGGCAGACAGGAGUGGACAGCCAUCCUUUAAGUACAGCCGGUGGACUGCACGGGGGACGCUCGUGAAAGGACGAGGCAAAGGAAACUCUGUGGUACGAAUGGACGGCUGGAGAGGUAGGCAUUAGUACUCCAUAGGCGACACAUGUACCCCUUCGUCUCUAGACUACUGUUGUGGGUUGUCCCAAAGGUCCCUAGAACGCUAAGAUGCUAUGUGGCCCUAUCGUCAAUUCCCUGGGCAGUGGUUCUCAACCUUCCUAAUGUUACAGUCCUAUAACACCGUUCCUCUAGUUGUAAAAUUCUUUUGUUACUUCGAAACUGAUUUUGCUACUGUUGUGAAUCCUAAUGUAAAUAAAUGUCUGGUAUUCCCGAUGGACUUAAAGGGGUCAUGACCUACAGGCUAAGAACCGCCUCUCUAGGGCAUACAGUAGUGUCCCGUCCCCCCCCCCCCCCAGGUGAGGACGGAACCCAGGGCCUUGCGCUUGCUAAGCAAGCGCUCUACCACUCAACCCCCAGUGGUUCUUCUUGACCUGUGAAUAUAUGUUCUUGUAUUUGGUUCUCUCAACAAAGCCCUGCUACGACACCCUGACUGACCUGAAACUCCUUAUUGUAGACCAGGCUGGCAUGGAAAUCAGAAAUCCACGUACCUCUGCCACGUGCCUUGCCAGGGUCAAAUGAGUGUGCCACUAACUAAGCCUCGCUUUUUCUCCCCCACAUUUUAAAAUUUUAGUUCUAUUCCAAUAGCUGUAGCCCACAUAACAAAAAAUUCGUUGGGCUUCUUGGUCAUUUUAAACAUGUAUUAGAACCAAAAAUUUUGAGAACCACUACCUCCAAACGUUAAGAAUGCUAGAUUUGUCUUAAAAAAAAAAAAAAAAAAAAGACAAAAAGACAAAAAAAAAAAAACAAGCAAACAAACAAA